rnacentral:rRNA from 1 species
GACGUAGGGCGCGAGCGUUGUCCGGAUUUAUUGGGCGUAAAGAGCUCGUAGGCGGCUUGUCGCGUCGUCCGUGAAAACUUGGGGCUCAACCCCAAGCUUGCGGUCGAUACGGGCAGGCUAGAGUUCGGUAGGGGAGACUGGAAUUCCUGGUGUAGCGGUGAAAUGCGCAGAUAUCAGGAGGAACACCGGUGGCGAAGGCGGGUCUCUGGGCCGAUACUGACGCUGAGGAGCGAAAGCGUGGGAGCAAACAGG